AUUGAACGCUGGCGGCAGGCUUAACACAUGCGAGUCGAGCGGAGAUGAGGUGCUUGCACCUUAUCUUAGCGGCGGACGGGUGAGUAAUGCUUAGGAAUCUGCCUAUUAGUGGGGGACAACAUUCCGAAAGGAAUGCUAAUACCGCAUACGUCCUACGGGAGAAAGCAGGGGAUCACUUGUGACCUUGCGCUAAUAGAUGAGCCUAAGUCGGAUUAGCUAGUUGGUGGGGUAAAGGCCUACCAAGGCGACGAUCUGUAGCGGGUCUGAGAGGAUGGUCCACCACACUGGGACUGAGACACGGCCCAGACUCCUACGGGAGGCAGCAGUGGGGAAUAUUGGACAAUGGGGGGAACCCUGUUCCAGCCAUGCCGCGUGUGUGAAGAAGGCCUUAUGGUUGUAAAGCACUUUAAGCGAGGAGGAGGCUCUUUUGGUUAAUACCCAAGAUGAGUGGACGUUACUCGCAGAAUAAGCACCGGCUAACUCUGUGCCAGCAGCCGCGGUAAGAC
rnacentral:rRNA from 1 species